rnacentral:rRNA from 1 species
AGAUGAAUUUGGUGCUUGCACCAAAUGAAACUAGAUACAAGCGAGCGGCGGACGGGUGAGUAACACGUGGGUAACCUGCCCAAGAGACUGGGAUAACACCUGGAAACAGAUGCUAAUACCGGAUAACAACACUAGACGCAUGUCUAGAGUUUAAAAGAUGGUUCUGCUAUCACUCUUGGAUGGACCUGCGGUGCAUUAGCUAGUUGGUAAGGUAACGGCUUACCAAGGCAAUGAUGCAUAGCCGAGUUGAGAGACUGAUCGGCCACAUUGGGACUGAGACACGGCCCAAACUCCUACGGGAGGCAGCAGUAGGGAAUCUUCCACAAUGGACGCAAGUCUGAUGGAGCAACGCCGCGUGAGUGAAGAAGGGUUUCGGCUCGUAAAGCUCUGUUGGUAGUGAAGAAAGAUAGAGGUAGUAACUGGCCUUUAUUUGACGGUAAUUACUUAGAAAGUCACGGCUAACUACGUGCCAGCAGCCGCGGUAAUACGUAGGUGGCAAGCGUUGUCCGGAUUUAUUGGGCGUAAAGCGAGUGCAGGCGGUUCAAUAAGUCUGAUGUGAAAGCCUUCGGCUCAACCGGAGAAUUGCAUCAGAAACUGUUGAACUUGAGUGCAGAAGAGGAGAGUGGAACUCCAUGUGUAGCGGUGGAAUGCGUAGAUAUAUGGAAGAACACCAGUGGCGAAGGCGGCU